UAUUUAUUAAAAUAUAUAACAUAUAACUUUAUAUAUUUUUGAGUUGCAGUUUAAUUCAAACAACAUUCGAUAUUUCUUAAUAUUUUUUAAUUAUAUCACCUCUUGUUAAAUUUCUGACUGCGUCACAACUUGAUGGACACGCCGGACUUUUUUUGCAUAUUUUACGCCCCUUUCCAAUCGGGGAUUAUUAAGGGGCAGAGCCGGUUUCAACCACGGGCUGCAUCCUCACUCGUGGGAGCUGGAUGGGAAGGACGGGGAUCGCCGGACCGGGCCCAGCACCCCGAAUAAACUCUUCAGGAGUUACCAGACCCGAGACGCGAGCCAGGGUCCUCCUGCGUGGCACGCUGACAGCGUUACCACUCGGCCAUCUGGCCGCCCGAUUCGCCGGACUAUCGAGGACCAGUCUAAACCCCUCGGUUCAGACUAGGUCUGGAGCCGUAGAUGAUGCCAUUUAUGAUGUGUUAGCUAUAACACAAAUGAUUUCAUUAUUAUAUUACAAUUUAAUAAUUUGGCGGCCUAGACAUUGUUAAGUGCAUUUUUUAUUCAAUAAACACCGCCAUUUCCCAAGAUAUUGAUCACUGUAUAGAAAAUUUUGUUUCGGAAAAAAUAAAAUAAAAUGCAGAAUUUGCAUAGCUCUAUAUAUACACAAGGACCAAGAAUCUUGAUAUUUCAAUUAUGUUAAAAGAUUACAUUUAACAAUAUACAGUAUGUCAUAUUUUAUUUCAAACUGACACAAGAUAUUUAGUUACACAUUUUUUUGUUAAAAGAUGACGCCACUUCACCUCCUUCACGGAGUUAUAUUGGAGAUAUGCCUCCUUCACAGAGGUGUGUUUCCAAUGAGUUCUGGGCUGCGCCUGGAGUGGGGGGACCUGCGGGGCCCGCGACGGGUGGCGGCGCACCGGAGGGGCGGGGGCCUGGGCGGG
rnacentral:lncRNA from 1 species